GUGCUCUCUUCAGCAGCACGUACACUAAAAUUAGAACAAUACAGAGAUUAGCAUGACCCCUGCACAAGGAUGCCAUGCAAAUUCACGAAGCAUUCCAAACACUU
rnacentral:snRNA from 1 species